CACGGGGGGAGCAAGCGUUGUUCGGAAUCACUGGGCGUAAAGGGCGUGUAGGCGGUCAGGUAAGUGGGAUGUGAAAUGCCCCGGCUCACCCGGGGACCGGCAUCCCAUACUGCUUGGCUUGAGUACGGGAGAGGAUGUGGGAAUUCCUGGUGUAGCGGUGAAAUGCGUAGAUAUCUGGAGGAACACCGGUGGCGAAGGCGGCAUCCUGGACCGGCAUUGACGCUGAGGAGCGAAAGCCAGGGGAGCAAACGGG
rnacentral:rRNA from 1 species